UGGGGAAUCUUGCACAAUGGGGGCAACCCUGAUGCAGCGACGCCGCGUGAGCGAUGAAGCCCUUCGGGGCGUAAAGCUCUUUCGACCGGAACGAUAAUGACGGUACCGGGAGAAGAAGCUGCGGCUAACUACGUGCCAGCAGCCGCGGUAAUACGUAGGCAGCAAGCGUUGUUCGGAGUUACUGGGCGUAAAGAGUGCGUAGGCGGUUUUCUAAGUUCGGUGUGAAAUCUCCCGGCUUAACUGGGAGGGUGCGCCGAAGACUGGGAAGAUGGAGUGUGGGAAAGGCAGGCGGAAUUCCUGGUGUAGCGGUGAAAUGCGUAGAUAUCAGGAGGAACACCGGCGGUGUAGACGGCUUGCUAGACCAUAACUGACGCUGAGGCACGAAAGCGUGGGUAGCAAAC
rnacentral:rRNA from 1 species